CACAAAUCAUGAUAAAUAGUGUGAACAUAAUUCUAUAGUGGGUCCAAAAUCCUUAUCAUGUCUCUUAUAAAAUGGACCCUUUAUCAUCUGCUCUUCCUCUAAUUUUUAUCCAACGACCAAAACGUUAUCUUUUAUUAUUUUUCUUGAACUUUAGCGAAUGCAUGGAACUAACCUGGUACUAUUAUCCAGCGCAUCCACAUGCACCCACCCCUGUCAAUGCCUUCCCUGGAUACUUCUUGUCAGGCUUUCUCCUCCAUCUUUGUGGGCACCAUAUAGCCUUCAUUAGCGCUGUAUAAAUUGGGUACUCUUCCAUUCAUUUGUCGUCAAAUUAAAACCCUACCCUAGAAUCCUUGAUAAGAGUUAGUAAAUGGAAGGUUCAAUUCUAAGCCAUGUAACAAUAACUACUUUCAUUCUCUUUUUCUCUAUUCUCUUCACCUCUAGCUCAGCAACCAGGCUAUUGACUAGCAACACAAAUGCCCAGUUCGUUAAAGCAUCUUGUAGCAACACAACCUAUCCUAAAUUGUGCUUUGAAUCCCUCGGAUGCUAUGCCAACAAAAUUCAAAGCAACCCCAAAAUGCUAGCCCAUGUUGCACUCAAUGUGACAUUUUCCGCCACUAAAUCAGCAUCAGAUUUGAUGAGAACCCUAUCUAAACUCCAUGGCAAGAAGCCCAGAGAGGCUGGAGCCAUCGCUGAUUGCGUGGAGGUGGUUGGUGAUUCAGUAGAUGAGCUAGCAAGGUCUAUUGGAGAGAUGGGUCGAGCUAGAGGAUCAAAUUCUGAUCCAGUAAUUAAUGAUAUACAAACUUGGGUUAGCGCAUCCUUAACGAAUGAUGAUACAUGCAUGGAUGGAUUUGCUGGUAAUGCUAUGAAUGGAGAAGUGAAAAAUAUAGUUAUGAAAAACAUGACAAAAGCUGCACAUUUGACAAGCGUUGCCUUGGCUCUCAUAAAUAGCUUUGCCUCUUCACAAGGAAACUCAGCCUUAAUCCUUUGAUGGCCAAAGAAUAGGGGAUGACUAUAACAGCUGGGAUCAAAAAUCUUCUCUAAAAUUAUACAAAAUAAUAAUAAUAAGCUCUAUCUACAAUAAGAACAGCCCGUUAUUUGUGUUUCUUGGCUUGAAAGUGUGUGAGUUUAUAAUUUUCCAUGUAUGGUAUUUCGAUAAUCGAGAGUAUCAAAAUGUAGUUAAGUGUUUCUUAUGCAUUUAAUAAUAUUGCUCAAUGAAGUGCAACAAAUUAAAUAAACUUUGUAUUUCUUUUUAAUUAAUGUAAUAUAAUUAUAAUAAUAUGUAUUAAUGAACAGUCAUAAAAAGGAGAAAUAUUUUCUGAUUAUUUAGCUCCUUAACAAAAAUAUAUUAUGUGAUAUCAUAGUGAGCGUAGAAAUUAAGACCUCUUGGGGAUGGAGGGGAAAUACUUUGAUUCAAUGUGGUAAAGAAGAUGAGAACCCAAAAGAUGGACGUGGGCUCUUCUAAGCUUCAAGUUUGGAUAAAUAGGCAAUUUUGGCAAAGGCCCACUAAUCUCUUAUACUUGUGAGGAUAUAAAUCCAGAGCCAUGUGGCUGAUUUGAAGCCAUUAUUAUUCUUAAGGCAUUAGAUUAUCAACAA
rnacentral:misc_RNA from 1 species